UACGUAGGGUGCGAGCGUUGUCCGGAAUUAUUGGGCGUAAAGAGCUCGUAGGCGGUCUGUCGCGUCGAUCGUGAAAACUUGGGGCUUAACCCUGAGCUUGCGGUCGAUACGGGCAUGACUGGAGUUCGGCAGGGGAGACUGGAAUUCCUGGUGUAGCGGUGGAAUGCGCAGAUAUCAGGAGGAACACCGGUGGCGAAGGCGGCAUCCUGGACCGGCAUUGACGCUGAGGCGCGGAAAGCCAGGGGAGCAAACGGG
rnacentral:rRNA from 1 species